AGCUGAGCGGGCUGUCGGCCAUUUUGUGAAGCGGCAAAAGAGAUGACCCACUGCGUGACCUUGGUUCAACUAUCCAUUUCCUGUGACCACCUCAUUGACAAGGACAUCGGCUCCAAGUCCCACCCACUCUGCGUCCUUUUACAGGAUGUGGGAGGGAGCAGCUGGGCUGAGCUUGGCCGAACUGAGCGAGUGCGGAACUGCUCGAGCCCCGAGUUCUCCAAGACUCUGCAGCUUGAGUACCACUUUGAAACAGUCCAGAAGCUCCGAUUUGGCAUUUAUGACAUAGACAACAAGACACCUGAGCUGGGGAUGAUGACUUCCUAGGAGGGGCUGAGUGUUCCCUAGGACAGAUUGUGUCCAGCCAGAUAAUAACUCUACCCUUGAUGCUGAAGCCUGGAAAACCUGCUGGGUGGGGGACCAUCACAGUAUCUGCUCAAGAGAUGAAGGAUAAUUGUAUAGUGACCAUGGAGGUGGAGGCCAGAAAACUAGAUAAGAAGGACAUCCUGGGGAAAUCGGACCCGUUCUUGGAGAUCUUUCGUCAGGGUGAUGGGAAAUGGCACCUGGCAUACAGAUCUGAGGUAAUCAGGAACAACUUGAACCCUACAUGGAAGUGCUUCUCUGUUCCCCUUCAGCAUUUCUGUUGGGGAGACGCCAACACACCCAUCCAGGUGCGAUGCUCAGACCAUGACAGUGAUGGUUCACAUGAUCUCAUUGGUACCUUCUACACCAGCUUGGCCCAGUUGCAAGUAGUCCCGGCUGUUUGAAUGUAUCCACCCUGAGAAACAGCAGAAAAAGAAAAGCUACAAGAACUUUUUUUGUGUCAAGAUUUGCCAGGUAGAAACACAGUAUUCAUUCCUGGACUAUGGGAUGGGAGGCUGUCAAAUCAACUUCACUGUAGGCAUUGACUUUAUGGGCUCCAAUGGAGAGCCCUCCUCCCCGGACUCCCUGCACUACCUGAGCCCAACAGGGGUCAACGAGUACCUGACAGCACUGUGGUGUGGGCAGUGUGAUUCAGGACUAUGACUCAGACAAGCUAUUCCCAGCAUUUGGAUUUGGGGCCCAGGUACCCCCCGAUUGGCAGGUCUCCCGUGAAUUUGCCUUGAACUUCAACCCCAGUAACUCCUACUGCCCAGGCAUCCAGGGCAUUGUGGAUGCUCACCGCAAGCCCUGCCCCAAGUUCGCCUCUAUGGGCCCACCAACUUUGCACCCAUCAUCAACCAUGUGGCCAGGUUGGCAACCCGGCUGCACGUCGGAGGACCGCCUCGCAAUACUUGGUGCUGCUGCCGCUGACUGACGGCGCUGUGAGAGAUGUGGAGGCUGCACGUGAGGCUGUGGUGCGUGCCUCCUACCUGCCCAUGUCAGUGAUUGUUGUGGGUGUGGGGGGCGCUGACUGCGAGGCCAGGGAGCAGCUGGAUGCUGAUGGUGGACCCCUGUGUGCAUGCUCCGGGGAGGCAGCUGCCCAUGACAUAGUGCAGUUUGUUGCCCUACUGCCGCUUCCAGAAUGCCCCUCGGGAGACACCAGCACAGACUGUGCUCGCAGAAGUACCCACACAACUGGUCUCCUAUGUCAAGGCCCAAGGUUGGGCCCCAUUCAAGCCACUUCCACCCCCAGCCAAGAGCCCUGCACAGGCUCCUUAG